UAUUAUUAAAUUAAUUUAUUCUUAUUAUUAUCGUUCAAAAUUACACGUGUAAUUUUAGCUAUACUACAAUAAUAAUAAUGUACAAUAAGUCAGAUACCUUUGGAAAAAUAAUAAUAAUAACCUCAAUAAUUUGGAAGAAACGAAAUCAUACUCCAGAUGCAGGGCACCAUGAGCAUUCAGCGGUACAUCAUCGUGUCAUCAGGGCGGCUUUCGUAGCCGCUGGCCUGAAUUCCGACACUAACACCGAUCCGCGAGAGCUGAAAGCGUUUGCAAUCGCCAUCAUAACCGAAAUGCUGAUUUAUAGUGUAACACCAGUUCGACGGAAUGUCUUUUCCAGACUCUUUACGAAAAGACUCAAGGAACAACUGAUUUAUGGGUUUUGGCUAUUGAUGCUAUCUCGGCUAUAGUGCAGUAGCACUAUCGGAGGCGACAGAAAUAGCAACGAGAAGCGGCAGUGGCAUCGAGUGGCAAUCUUACUGUCCGCAGUCUCAGCGACAAUAAGAAGCGACGGAGAUCGAAGAAGUAGCAGCCUGUGCAGCCAGCACCGGCCACGUGUAGCGCAACAAGCUACUCUCGGAAAGUGAGCCGACAGCGCUUCUAAGAGCGCCCACCGAUAGCAGCGAUUUUUUUCAUUCUUGCACUACGCUGCAUAAAAUUUAAUUAAUUAAUUAAUUAAUUUAAUUAAAAUAUAAAAUUGUA